UUUCCGUAGGUGAACCUGCGGAAGGAUCAUUACAGUAGUCACCCAGGUUGCCGCAAGGCCUCCUGGGUAACCUACCACCCUUUGUUUAUUACACUUUGUUGCUUUGGCAAGCCUGCCCUCGGGCUGCUGGCUCCGGCCGGCGAGCGCUUGCCAGAGGACCUAAACACUGUUUGUCUAUACUGUCUGAGUACUAUAUAAUAGUUAAAACUUUCAACAACGGAUCUCUUGGUUCUG
rnacentral:misc_RNA from 1 species